rnacentral:lncRNA from 1 species
CAUCAAUCCUCAUAGCAAGCCUUGUUGAUAUCAUAACAAACCUACUAUGGUUUUUGAUAGGAUAUUGACUAGGUAUGAAGGAAGGUAUAUGUAGUGUUCAAAUACUGAGCUACCAUCAUUCAAGAUUCGAACUAAUUCAAUUGGCUAAGAAAGUAUGAAGAUUGGUGGGGGUCCUCCCGUUGCUUUUCUUAGACACCAAUAAAAUUGGCCAGGCC